rnacentral:tRNA from 1 species
AACUAGCUCAAUGGCAUAGCAAUCGACUUAGGAUCGAUGGGUUGCCGGAUCGACUUAGGAUCGAUGGGUUGCCGGUUCGAACCCGGCGUU